GGGUUGUGAGGUUAAGCGACUAAGCGUACACGGUGGAUGCCCUGGCAGUCAGAGGCGAUGAAGGACGUGCUAAUCUGCGAUAAGCGUCGGUAAGGUGAUAUGAACCGUUAUAACCGGCGAUUUCCGAAUGGGGAAACCCAGUGUGAUUCGUCACACUAUCAUUAACUGAAUCCAUAGGUUAAUGAGGCGAACCGGGGGAACUGAAACAUCUAAGUACCCCGAGGAAAAGAAAUCAACCGAGAUUCCCCCAGUAGCGGCGAGCGAACGGGGAGCAGCCCAGAGCCUGAAUCAGUGUGUGUGUUAGUGGAAGCGUCUGGAAAGGCGUGCGAUACAGGGUGACAGCCCCGUACACAAAAAUGCACAUGCUGUGAGCUCGAUGAGUAGGGCGGGACACGUGGUAUCCUGUCUGAAUAUGGGGGGACCAUCCUCCAAGGCUAAAUACUCCUGACUGACCGAUAGUGAACCAGUACCGUGAGGGAAAGGCGAAAAGAACCCCGGCGAGGGGAGUGAAAAAGAACCUGAAACCGUGUACGUACAAGCAGUGGGAGCACGCUUAGGCGUGUGACUGCGUACCUUUUGUAUAAUGGGUCAGCGACUUAUAUUCUGUAGCAAGGUUAACCGAAUAGGGGAGCCGAAGGGAAACCGAGUCUUAACUGGGCGUUAAGUUGCAGGGUAUAGACCCGAAACCCGGUGAUCUAGCCAUGGGCAGGUUGAAGGUUGGGUAACACUAACUGGAGGACCGAACCGACUAAUGUUGAAAAAUUAGCGGAUGACUUGUGGCUGGGGGUGAAAGGCCAAUCAAACCGGGAGAUAGCUGGUUCUCCCCGAAAGCUAUUUAGGUAGCGCCUCGUGAAUUCAUCUCCGGGGGUAGAGCACUGUUUCGGCAAGGGGGUCAUCCCGACUUACCAACCCGAUGCAAACUGCGAAUACCGGAGAAUGUUAUCACGGGAGACACACGGCGGGUGCUAACGUCCGUCGUGAAGAGGGAAACAACCCAGACCGCCAGCUAAGGUCCCAAAGUCAUGGUUAAGUGGGAAACGAUGUGGGAAGGCCCAGACAGCCAGGAUGUUGGCUUAGAAGCAGCCAUCAUUUAAAGAAAGCGUAAUAGCUCACUGGUCGAGUCGGCCUGCGCGGAAGAUGUAACGGGGCUAAACCAUGCACCGAAGCUGCGGCAGCGACGCUUAUGCGUUGUUGGGUAGGGGAGCGUUCUGUAAGCCUGCGAAGGUGUGCUGUGAGGCAUGCUGGAGGUAUCAGAAGUGCGAAUGCUGACAUAAGUAACGAUAAAGCGGGUGAAAAGCCCGCUCGCCGGAAGACCAAGGGUUCCUGUCCAACGUUAAUCGGGGCAGGGUGAGUCGACCCCUAAGGCGAGGCCGAAAGGCGUAGUCGAUGGGAAACAGGUUAAUAUUCCUGUACUUGGUGUUACUGCGAAGGGGGGACGGAGAAGGCUAUGUUGGCCGGGCGACGGUUGUCCCGGUUUAAGCGUGUAGGCUGGUUUUCCAGGCAAAUCCGGAAAAUCAAGGCUGAGGCGUGAUGACGAGGCACUACGGUGCUGAAGCAACAAAUGCCCUGCUUCCAGGAAAAGCCUCUAAGCAUCAGGUAACAUCAAAUCGUACCCCAAACCGACACAGGUGGUCAGGUAGAGAAUACCAAGGCGCUUGAGAGAACUCGGGUGAAGGAACUAGGCAAAAUGGUGCCGUAACUUCGGGAGAAGGCACGCUGAUAUGUAGGUGAAGCGACUUGCUCGUGGAGCUGAAAUCAGUCGAAGAUACCAGCUGGCUGCAACUGUUUAUUAAAAACACAGCACUGUGCAAACACGAAAGUGGACGUAUACGGUGUGACGCCUGCCCGGUGCCGGAAGGUUAAUUGAUGGGGUCAGCGCAAGCGAAGCUCUUGAUCGAAGCCCCGGUAAACGGCGGCCGUAACUAUAACGGUCCUAAGGUAGCGAAAUUCCUUGUCGGGUAAGUUCCGACCUGCACGAAUGGCGUAAUGAUGGCCAGGCUGUCUCCACCCGAGACUCAGUGAAAUUGAACUCGCUGUGAAGAUGCAGUGUACCCGCGGCAAGACGGAAAGACCCCGUGAACCUUUACUAUAGCUUGACACUGAACAUUGAGCCUUGAUGUGUAGGAUAGGUGGGAGGCUUUGAAGUGUGGACGCCAGUCUGCAUGGAGCCGACCUUGAAAUACCACCCUUUAAUGUUUGAUGUUCUAACGUUGACCCGUGAUCCGGGUUGCGGACAGUGUCUGGUGGGUAGUUUGACUGGGGCGGUCUCCUCCUAAAGAGUAACGGAGGAGCACGAAGGUUGGCUAAUCCUGGUCGGACAUCAGGAGGUUAGUGCAAUGGCAUAAGCCAGCUUGACUGCGAGCGUGACGGCGCGAGCAGGUGCGAAAGCAGGUCAUAGUGAUCCGGUGGUUCUGAAUGGAAGGGCCAUCGCUCAACGGAUAAAAGGUACUCCGGGGAUAACAGGCUGAUACCGCCCAAGAGUUCAUAUCGACGGCGGUGUUUGGCACCUCGAUGUCGGCUCAUCACAUCCUGGGGCUGAAGUAGGUCCCAAGGGUAUGGCUGUUCGCCAUUUAAAGUGGUACGCGAGCUGGGUUUAGAACGUCGUGAGACAGUUCGGUCCCUAUCUGCCGUGGGCGCUGGAGAACUGAGGGGGGCUGCUCCUAGUACGAGAGGACCGGAGUGGACGCAUCACUGGUGUUCGGGUUGUCAUGCCAAUGGCACUGCCCGGUAGCUAAAUGCGGAAGAGAUAAGUGCUGAAAGCAUCUAAGCACGAAACUUGCCCCGAGAUGAGUUCUCCCUGACUCCUUGAGAGUCCUGAAGGAACGUUGAAGACGACGACGUUGAUAGGCCGGGUGUGUAAGCGCAGCGAUGCGUUGAGCUAACCGGUACUAAUGAACCGUGAGGCUUAACCUUACAACGCCGAAG
rnacentral:rRNA from 1 species